AACGAACGCUGGCGGCAUGCCUAACACAUGCAAGUCGAACGAGACCUUCGGGUCUAUUGGCGCACGGGUUCGUAACGCGUGGGAACCUGCCCUUAUGUUCGGAAUAACUUCCCGAAAGGGGUGCUAAUACCGGAUAAUGUCUUCGGACCAAUGAUUUAUCGCCUUUGGUUGGGCCCGCGUUGGAUUAGCUAGUUGGUAGGGUAAAAGCCUACUAAGGCGACGAUCCAUAGCUGGGCUGAGAGGAUGAUCAGCCACACUGGGACUGAGACACGGCCCAGACUGCUACGGAAGGGAGCAGUGGGGAGUAUUGGACGAUGGGCGAAAGCCUGAUCCAGCAGUGCGGCGUGAGUGAUGAAGGCCGUAGGGUUGUAAAGCUCUUUUACAAGAGAUGAUAAUGACAGUACGGGGAGAAUAAGCGCCGGCUAACUACGUG
rnacentral:rRNA from 1 species